rnacentral:rRNA from 1 species
GACGAACGCUGGCGGCGUGCUUAACACAUGCAAGUCGAACGGAAAGGCCCUGCUUUUGUGGGGUGCUCGAGUGGCGAACGGGUGAGUAACACGUGAGUAACCUGCCCUUGACUUUGGGAUAACUUCAGGAAACUGGAGCUAAUACCGGAUAGGAGCUCCUGCUGCAUGGUGGGGGUUGGAAAGUUUCGGCGGUUGGGGAUGGACUCGCGGCUUAUCAGCUUGUUGGUGGGGUAGCGGCUUACCAAGGCUUUGACGGGUAGCCGGCCUGAGAGGGUGACCGGCCACAUUGGGACUGAGAUACGGCCCAGACUCCUACGGGAGGCAGCAGUGGGGAAUAUUGCACAAUGGGCGGAAGCCUGAUGCAGCAACGCCGCGUGCGGGAUGACGGCCUUCGGGUUGUAAACCGCUUUCGCCUGUGACGAAGCGUGAGUGACGGUAAUGGGUAAAGAAGCACCGGCUAACUACGUG